rnacentral:rRNA from 1 species
CAUGGCUCAGGAUGAAUGCUGGCGGCGUGCCUAACACAUGCAAGUCGAGCGGCAGCGAGUUUUACACUGAAUUCUGGAAGCUUCUGAGUAGUACAGAAGAUUUAUUCAAGAGUUUUGUGUAAAAUGUCGGCGAGCGGCGGACGGCUGAGUAACGCGUAGGAAUUUGCCCCAAAGUGAGGAAUAACUGCCCGAAAGGGUAGCUAAUGCCGCAUAUGGUCUUCGGAUUAAAGCCUUCGGGCGCUUUGGGAGAAGCCUGCGUUGGAUUAGGUAGUUGGUAGGGUAAUGGCCUACCAAGCCGACGAUCCAUAGCUGGUCUGAGAGGAUGAUCAGCCAGACUGGAACUGAGACACGGUCCAGACUCCUACGG